rnacentral:rRNA from 1 species
CACGUAGGGUGCGAGCGUUGUCCGGAAUUAUUGGGCGUAAAGAGCUCGUAGGCGGUGUGUCGCGUCGGCCGUGAAAACCUGCAGCUUAACUGUGGGCUUGCGGUCGAUACGGGCAUCACUGGAGUUCGGCAGGGGAGACUGGAAUUCCUGGUGUAGCGGUGAAAUGAGCAGAUAUCAGGAGGAACACCGGUGGCGAAGGCGGGUCUCUGGGCCGAUACUGACGCUGAGGAGCGAAAGCGUGGGGAGCGAACAGG